GUAGGGAAUAUUGCACAAUGGGCGCAAGCCUGAUGCAGCAACGCCGCGUGCGCGAUGAAGGCCUUCGGGUCGUAAAGCGCUUUUCUGGGAGACGAGGAAGGACGGUAUCCCAGGAAUAAGUCUCGGCUAACUACGUGCCAGCAGCCGCGGUAAAACGUAGGAGACAAGCGUUAUCCGAAUUUACUGGGCGUAAAGCGCGUGCAGGUGGUUAGGUAAGUUGAAUGUGAAAUCUCCUGGCUCAACUGGGAGAGGCUGUUCAAGACUGCCUGGCUAGAGGGCGGUAGAGGGAGGUGGAAUUCCCGGUGUAGUGGUGAAAUGCGUAGAUAUCGGGAGGAACACCUGUGGCGAAAGCGGCCUCCUGGACCGUACCUGACGCUCAGACGCGAAAGCUAGGGGAGUGAACGGGAUUAGAAACCCUUGUAGUCC
rnacentral:rRNA from 1 species